GCUGAAACAUCGUUUCCCGUAAGAUCUCCGAAGUUAAGCAACGUCGAGAAUGGUUAGUAUAUAGUUGGGUGACCGCUUGGGUAUACCAGGUGCUGGA